AGAGUUUGAUCAUGGCUCAGGAUGAACGCUAGCUACAGGCUUAACACAUGCAAGGUCGAGGGGCAGCAUGAUCGAAGCUUGCUUUGAUUGAUGGCGACCGGCGCACGGGUGAGUAACGCGUAUCCAACCUUCCCUAUAGUGGAGGAUAGCCCGGCGAAAGUCGGAUUAAUACUCUAUGUUUUCCAAUGAGGACAUCUAAGUUGGAACAAAGGUUCACCGCUAUAGGAUGGGGAUGCGUCUGAUUAGGUAGUCGGCGGGGUAACGGCCCACCGAGCCAACGAUCAGUAGGGGUUCUGAGAGGAAGGUCCCCCACAUUGGAACUGAGACACGGUCCAAACUCCUACGGGAGGCAGCAGUGAGGAAUAUUGGUCAAUGGGCGAGAGCCUGAACCAGCCCAAGUAGCGUGCAGGAUGACGGCCCUAUGGGUUGUAAACUGCUUUUAUACGGGGAUAAAGUGAGGGACGUGUCCCUUUUUGUAGGUACCGUAUGAAUAAGGACCGGCUAAUUCCGUGCCAGCCGCCGC
rnacentral:rRNA from 1 species